rnacentral:rRNA from 1 species
GACGAACGCUGGCGGCGUGCCUAAUACAUGCAAGUCGGACGCAGUUUCGAGCGGGUGAGUAACGCGUAUGUAACUGCCUAUUAGAGGGGGAUAACUAUUUUAAACGAUAGCUCAUACCGCAUACUAGUCGAUGGACCUACGGUGUAUUAGCUAGUAGGUAGGGUAAUGGCCUACCUAGGCGACGAUACAUAGCCGACCUGGGAGGGGGAUCGGGCAAACUGGGAAUGGGAAACGGGCCAGGAUCCUAAGGGAGGCAGGAGGAGGGAAUCUUCGGGAAUGGGGGGAAAGCCGACCCGGCAACGGCGGGGGAGGUAAGAAGGGUUUUGGAUCGGAAAGAUUCGUUGGUAAGGAAGCGGUACUUAACCAGAAAGGGACGGCUAACUACGUGCCAGCAGCCGCGGUAAUAC